CCUACGGGUGGCAGCAGUGAGGAAUAUUGGUCAAUGGGCGCGAGCCUGAACCAGCCAAGUAGCGUGAAGGAUGACUGCCCUACGGGUUGUAAACUUCUUUUCUAAAGGAAUAAAGUGAGGCACGUGUGUCUUUUUGUAUGUACUUUAUGAAUAAGGAUCGGCUAACUCCGUGCCAGCAGCCGCGGUAAUACGGAGGAUCCGAGCGUUAUCCGGAUUUAUUGGGUUUAAAGGGAGCGUAGAUGGGUUGUUAAGUCAGUUGUGAAAGGUUGCGGCUUAACCGGAAAAUUGCAAUUGAUACUGGCAGCCUUGAGUACAGUGGAGGUAGGCGGAAUGCGGGGUGUAGCGGUGAAAUGCUUAGAUAUCACGAAGAACACCGAUUGCGAAGGCAGCCUACUAAACUGCCACUGACAUUGAUGCUCGAAAGUGUGGGUAUCAAACAGGAUUAGAUACCCGGGUAGUC
rnacentral:rRNA from 1 species